rnacentral:lncRNA from 1 species
CCACACCCUCAUAAAUCUCAAUGGCAGGCCAUGUAGAGCUAAGCUCACUUGUGUGAUGAAGACAAUGGGCCUCUAGGUGAACAGUGAGGGGACCAAAAGGGUUGGCCUUGGGAGGUCUGGUUUGGCUCAUGGUGGCGCUAGUUAUGACUUGAACCUGUCAGAUGAAGAUGGAGAUGGAGGUGAAGAUGGAGAUAGAGAUGGAUGUGAAGAUGGAGGUGAAGAUGGAGAUGGAGAUGGAGCGUGCACUCUGGAAAGAUAAAAUGCUGUGUCUCUACCAUCCCUUACCGAGAGGGGAGGAAGUAUGGCACAAAUCCGUGCUGCCCGGUGAAUACCCGGAGGAGGGCCAACCUGCCCAGGAAAAUGCAGAGCCACCGAAAAGUCUUGGGUCCUUUGAACUUUCUCUUCCCCUUGUUUGGGACACAAACCUAAUGCCUGGAGGCGCGGCAUCUGUUUGUGACCUUGAAGUGAUAAUCACAACGAAGAAAAUCAAGAUGUCAAGGAUGGCAGAGUAGGAAGUGAGAAAGAGCCUGCGUCCCCGAUGGCAUCGCUGAGGCUUGCACAGCUGUGACUUAACUACCCUGGAUGUCUUCAGAUGUGAGACCAAUCAAGC